rnacentral:rRNA from 1 species
AGCAGCCGCGGUAAUUCCAGCUCCAAUAGCGUAUAUUAAAGUUGUUGCAGUUAAAAAGCUCGUAGUUGAAUUUCGGGGUCAGUAGGUCGGUCGUGCCACUGGUAUGCACUGGUCUCACUGACUCCUCCUUCCUGAUGAACCGUAAUGCCAUUAAUUUGGUGUUGCGGGGAAACUGGACUGUUACUUUGAAAAAAUUGGAGUGUUUAAAGCAGGCUAACGCUUGAAUACAUUAGCAUGGAAUAAUGAAAUAGGACGUUCGAUCCUAUUUUGUUGGUUUCUAGGAUUGACGUAAUGAUUAAUAGGGAUAGUUGGGGGCAUUAGUAUUCAAUUGUCAGAGGUGAAAUUCUUGGAUUUAUUGAAGACUAACUACUGCGAAAGCAUUUGCCAAGGAUGUUUUCAUUAAUCAAGAACGAAAGUUAGGGGAUCGAAGACGAUCAGAUACCGUCGUAGUCUUAACCAUAAACUAUGCCGACUAGGGAUCGGAUGAUGUUAAUUUUUUAAUGACUCA